ACCCCGGGGAUAACAGGCUUAUCUCCCCCAAGAGUUCACAUCGACGGGGAGGUUUGGCACCUCGAUGUCGGCUCAUCGCAUCCUGGGGCUGUAGUCGGUCCCAAGGGUUGGGCUGUUCGCCCAUUAAAGCGGUACGCGAGCUGGGUUCAGAACGUCGUGAGACAGUUCGGUCCCUAUCCGUCGUGGGCGUAGGAAAUUUGAGAGGAGCUGUCCUUAGUACGAGAGGACCGGGAUGGACAUACCUCUGGUGUACCAGUUGUCGUGCCAACGGCAUAGCUGGGUAGCUAUGUGUGGACGGGAUAAGUGCUGAAAGCAUCUAAGCAUGAAGCCCCCCUCAAGAUGAGAUUUCCCAACUUCGGUUAUAAGAUCCCUCAAAGAUGAUGAGGUUAAUAGGUUCGAGGUGGAAGCAUGGUGACAUGUGGAGCUGACGAAUACUAA
rnacentral:rRNA from 1 species